rnacentral:tRNA from 2 species
AGGGGAGUAGCUCAAUUGGCAGAGUACCGGUCUCCAAAACCGGGUGUUGAGGGUUCAAAUCCCCCCUCCCCUGCCA